UGUUGCCACUGAAUACUCCCAUAAGUUUGACAAGCCAAUGACUAAAGAUGAGAUUGAAGAGAAAUCCUUCCAUUCUCUUCUGCCACCAGAGAGCCAACACCACUUUCAUAUGGGGAAGGAACGCAGCCAGCAGGAUGAUUCAGAUGAGGACAUAGUGCGGGACCAGUCGGCUUCUCUUAUGGAUUAGGCUUCUGGCAACAAAUGGCCACAAACCGAUCAAAGGUGAAAGUGACGGUGAACCAGACAGAGCAGUCAGUGGCUGCAUAAAGCAGGACAGCGUGGAUAUUACACACGGGGACGGAGUACACCAGGAAAGAAAAGUGUUCCCGAUAAACAAUGGGAAUGUGUCUCAGGAUCAGGUCGAGGAUAAUGACCAGGAGAUCCGCCGCUGCCAUGGCCCCCAGCUUUGGACCGUCGGAGGAAACAGGAGCACCCAUCAGAAAUUCACACAGACAAGAGGAGAAGAUCAAAACUCCACGCAGAUAGUCGCCUGAGGCUGGAAUUGAACUCAUGUCCCUGAUGCCGUGAGGCAGCAGUCCGAACUACUGAGCCACUGUGCUAACCUGGAGCCUCCUGCCAGCCUACUGCAAAGGGAAUUCAACAAAAUCCAACUCUCCCAGUAUAAAAUCCCAUUGCUAGCAGCUUGU